GAACAACAAAAUCCCACCUUCAAACUCACUCUUCUUACCACACAGCAAGAGUGUUCACAACUGCUUCAACCCUUCAAGCUAUAGUUUAAGCAUCAAGAAAAUCGGAACUCACUUGGUUUGAUGCGAAAAAGUGUGCAACUGAUUGUUUCGGCGCUGUUCCUUUGUCUGUUGAAGCUCCCACAGUUAGAAUCUGUUCCUCAGUUGACAGUACAAACUUCUGUGGAAAACAGUUUCUCUUAUGCAGAUUCUAUUUGUUCCCCGAUUUCAUAUCUGGAUAGGUCACUGCUGCUAUUUCAAG